CAAUAGCGUAUAUUAAAGUUGUUGCAGUUAAAAAGCUCGUAGUUGGAUUUCGGAUGGGACUUGCCGGUCCGUCGUUUCGAUGUGCACUGGCCAGUCCUAUCUUGUUGUCGGGGACUAGCUCCUGGGCUUCACUGUCCGGGACUAGGAGCUGACGAGGUUACUUUGAGUAAAUUAGAGUGUUCAAAGCAAGCCUACGCUCUGAAUACAUUAGCAUGGAAUAACACGAUAGGACUCUGGCUUAUCUUGUUGGUCUGUGAGACCAGAGUAAUGAUUAAGAGGGACAGUCGGGGGCAUUCGUAUUUCAUUGUCAGAGGUGAAAUUCUUGGAUUUAUGAAAGACGAACUUCUGCGAAAGCAUUUGUCAAGGAUGUUUUCAUUG
rnacentral:rRNA from 1 species